rnacentral:rRNA from 1 species
CCUCGGUGGCUGCAGUGGGGAAUAUUGGACAAUGGGCGAAAGCCUGAUCCAGCCAUGCCGCGUGUGUGAAGAAGGCCUUCGGGUUGUAAAGCACUUUCAGUGGGGAAGAAAGCCUUGGGGCUAAUACCCUCGAGGAAGGACAUCACCCACAGAAGAAGCACCGGCUAACUCCGUGCCAGCAGCCGCGGUAAUACGGAGGGUGCGAGCGUUAAUCGGAAUUACUGGGCGUAAAGCGCGCGUAGGCGGUCUGAUAAGCCGGUUGUGAAAGCCCCGGGCUCAACCUGGGAACGGCAUCCGGAACUGUCAGGCUAGAGUGCAGGAGAGGAAGGGAGAAUUCCCGGUGUAGCGGUGAAAUGCGUAGAGAUCGGGAGGAAUACCAGUGGCGAAGGCGGCCUUCUGGACUGACACUGACGCUGAGGUGCGAAAGCGUGGGUAGCAAACAGGAUUAGAUACCCCGGUAGUC